CGGCACGCCUAACACAUGCAAGUCGAACGAAGUAGCAAUACUUAGUGGCAGACGGGUGAGUAACAUGUAGGUAUCUGCCCUUUGGCCUGGAAUAACACGAGGAAACUUGUGCUAAUACCGGAUAAGUCUUUACGGAGAAAGCUUUAUGCACCAUUGGAUGAGCCUGCACUUGAUUAGUUUGUUGGUGGGGUAAUGGCCUACCAAGACUGUGAUCAAUAGCUGAUUUGAGAGGAUGAUCAGCCACAUUGGGACUGAGACACGGCCCAAACUCCUACGGGAGGCAGCAGUGGGGAAUCUUGCACAAUGGAGGAAACUCUGAUGCAGCGAUGCCGCGUGAGUGAAGAAGGCCCUUGGGUUGUAAAGCUCUUUCGUCGGGGAAGAAAAUGACUGUACCCGAAUAAGAAGGUCCGGCUAACUUCGUGCCAGCAGCCGCGGUAAUACGAAGGGACCUAGCGUAGUUCGGAAUUACUGGGCUUAAAGAGUUCGUAGGUGGUUGAAAAAGUUAGUGGUGAAAUCCCAGAGCUUAACUCUGGAACUGCCAUUAAAACUUUUCAGCUAGAGUAUGAUAGAGGAAAGCAGAAUUUCUAGUGUAGAGGUGAAAUUCGUAGAUAUUAGAAAGAAUACCAAUUGCGAAGGCAGCUUUCUGGAUCAUUACUGACACUGAGGAACGAAAGCAUGGGUAGCGAAGAGGAUUAGAUACCCUCGUAGUCCAUGCCGUAAACGAUGUGUGUUAGACGUUGGAAAUUU
rnacentral:rRNA from 1 species